CGAUAUGCUAACGAAGCAUCGCGCUAUAAUGCAGUCGAGCGACUGAUUAGAAGCUUGCUUCUAUGACGUUAGCGGCGGACGGGUGAGUAACACGUGGGCAACCUGCCUGUAAGACUGGGAUAACUUCGGGAAACCGAAGCUAAUACCGGAUAGGAUCUUCUCCUUCAUGGGAGAUGAUUGAAAGAUGGUUUCGGCUAUCACUUACAGAUGGGCCCGCGGUGCAUUAGCUAGUUGGUGAGGUAACGGCUCACCAAGGCAACGAUGCAUAGCCGACCUGAGAGGGUGAUCGGCCACACUGGGACUGAGACACGGCCCAGACUCCUACGGGAGGCAGCAGUAGGGAAUCUUCCGCAAUGGACGAAAGUCUGACGGAGCAACGCCGCGUGAGUGAUGAAGGCUUUCGGGUCGUAAAAACUCUGUUGUUAGGGAAGAACAAGUACAAGUGUAUCUGCUUGUACCUUGACGGUCCCUAACCAGAAAGCCCACGGCUAAACUACGUGCCAGCAGCCGGGGGUAAUACGUAGGUGGGCACGCGUUUAUCCGGGAAUUAUUGGGGCGUAAAAGCGCGCGCAGGGCGGUUUUCUUUAAGUCCUGGAUGUG
rnacentral:rRNA from 2 species